UUAAGCGACUAAGCGUACACGGUGGAUGCCCUGGCAGUCAGAGGCGAUGAAGGACGUGCUAAUCUGCGAUAAGCGUCGGUAAGGUGAUAUGAACCGUUAUAACCGGCGAUUUCCGAAUGGGGAAACCCAGUGUGUUUCGACACACUAUCAUUAACUGAAUCCAUAGGUUAAUGAGGCGAACCGGGGGAACUGAAACAUCUAAGUACCCCGAGGAAAAGAAAUCAACCGAGAUUCCCCCAGUAGCGGCGAGCGAACGGGGAGCAGCCCAGAGCCUGAAUCAGUGUGUGUGUUAGUGGAAGCGUCUGGAAAGGCGCGCGAUACAGGGUGACAGCCCCGUACACAAAAAUGCACAUGCUGUGAGCUCGAUGAGUAGGGCGGGACACGUGGUAUCCUGUCUGAAUAUGGGGGGACCAUCCUCCAAGGCUAAAUACUCCUGACUGACCGAUAGUGAACCAGUACCGUGAGGGAAAGGCGAAAAGAACCCCGGCGAGGGGAGUGAAAAAGAACCUGAAACCGUGUACGUACAAGCAGUGGGAGCACGCUUAGGCGUGUGACUGCGUACCUUUUGUAUAAUGGGUCAGCGACUUAUAUUCUGUAGCAAGGUUAACCGAAUAGGGGAGCCGAAGGGAAACCGAGUCUUAACUGGGCGUUAAGUUGCAGGGUAUAGACCCGAAACCCGGUGAUCUAGCCAUGGGCAGGUUGAAGGUUGGGUAACACUAACUGGAGGACCGAACCGACUAAUGUUGAAAAAUUAGCGGAUGACUUGUGGCUGGGGGUGAAAGGCCAAUCAAACCGGGAGAUAGCUGGUUCUCCCCGAAAGCUAUUUAGGUAGCGCCUCGUGAAUUCAUCUCCGGGGGUAGAGCACUGUUUCGGCAAGGGGGUCAUCCCGACUUACCAACCCGAUGCAAACUGCGAAUACCGGAGAAUGUUAUCACGGGAGACACACGGCGGGUGCUAACGUCCGUCGUGAAGAGGGAAACAACCCAGACCGCCAGCUAAGGUCCCAAAGUCAUGGUUAAGUGGGAAACGAUGUGGGAAGGCCCAGACAGCCAGGAUGUUGGCUUAGAAGCAGCCAUCAUUUAAAGAAAGCGUAAUAGCUCACUGGUCGAGUCGGCCUGCGCGGAAGAUGUAACGGGGCUAAACCAUGCACCGAAGCUGCGGCAGCGACGCUUAUGCGUUGUUGGGUAGGGGAGCGUUCUGUAAGCCUGCGAAGGUGUGCUGUGAGGCAUGCUGGAGGUAUCAGAAGUGCGAAUGCUGACAUAAGUAACGAUAAAGCGGGUGAAAAGCCCGCUCGCCGGAAGACCAAGGGUUCCUGUCCAACGUUAAUCGGGGCAGGGUGAGUCGACCCCUAAGGCGAGGCCGAAAGGCGUAGUCGAUGGGAAACAGGUUAAUAUUCCUGUACUUGGUGUUACUGCGAAGGGGGGACGGAGAAGGCUAUGUUGGCCGGGCGACGGUUGUCCCGGUUUAAGCGUGUAGGCUGGUUUUCCAGGCAAAUCCGGAAAAUCAAGGCUGAGGCGUGAUGACGAGGCACUACGGUGCUGAAGCAACAAAUGCCCUGCUUCCAGGAAAAGCCUCUAAGCAUCAGGUAACAUCAAAUCGUACCCCAAACCGACACAGGUGGUCAGGUAGAGAAUACCAAGGCGCUUGAGAGAACUCGGGUGAAGGAACUAGGCAAAAUGGUGCCGUAACUUCGGGAGAAGGCACGCUGAUAUGUAGGUGAAGUCCCUUGCGGAUGGAGCUGAAAUCAGUCGAAGAUACCAGCUGGCUGCAACUGUUUAUUAAAAACACAGCACUGUGCAAACACGAAAGUGGACGUAUACGGUGUGACGCCUGCCCGGUGCCGGAAGGUUAAUUGAUGGGGUUAGCCGCAAGGCGAAGCUCUUGAUCGAAGCCCCGGUAAACGGCGGCCGUAACUAUAACGGUCCUAAGGUAGCGAAAUUCCUUGUCGGGUAAGUUCCGACCUGCACGAAUGGCGUAAUGAUGGCCAGGCUGUCUCCACCCGAGACUCAGUGAAAUUGAACUCGCUGUGAAGAUGCAGUGUACCCGCGGCAAGACGGAAAGACCCCGUGAACCUUUACUAUAGCUUGACACUGAACAUUGAGCCUUGAUGUGUAGGAUAGGUGGGAGGCUUUGAAGUGUGGACGCCAGUCUGCAUGGAGCCGACCUUGAAAUACCACCCUUUAAUGUUUGAUGUUCUAACGUUGACCCGUAAUCCGGGUUGCGGACAGUGUCUGGUGGGUAGUUUGACUGGGGCGGUCUCCUCCUAAAGAGUAACGGAGGAGCACGAAGGUUGGCUAAUCCUGGUCGGACAUCAGGAGGUUAGUGCAAUGGCAUAAGCCAGCUUGACUGCGAGCGUGACGGCGCGAGCAGGUGCGAAAGCAGGUCAUAGUGAUCCGGUGGUUCUGAAUGGAAGGGCCAUCGCUCAACGGAUAAAAGGUACUCCGGGGAUAACAGGCUGAUACCGCCCAAGAGUUCAUAUCGACGGCGGUGUUUGGCACCUCGAUGUCGGCUCAUCACAUCCUGGGGCUGAAGUAGGUCCCAAGGGUAUGGCUGUUCGCCAUUUAAAGUGGUACGCGAGCUGGGUUUAGAACGUCGUGAGACAGUUCGGUCCCUAUCUGCCGUGGGCGCUGGAGAACUGAGGGGGGCUGCUCCUAGUACGAGAGGACCGGAGUGGACGCAUCACUGGUGUUCGGGUUGUCAUGCCAAUGGCACUGCCCGGUAGCUAAAUGCGGAAGAGAUAAGUGCUGAAAGCAUCUAAGCACGAAACUUGCCCCGAGAUGAGUUCUCCCUGACUCCUUGAGAGUCCUGAAGGAACGUUGAAGACGACGACGUUGAUAGGCCGGGUGUGUAAGCGCAGCGAUGCGUUGAGCUAACCGGUACUAAUGAACCGUGAGGCUUAACCUU
rnacentral:rRNA from 1 species